UAUUAUUUUUGCAGGAAGAUGAACUUCUGUUCAACAGCCCAUCCUUCAGUAGAACAGAUACUGCUCUAUGGAGGUGAAAAACGGAUAAAUUUUGCAGAUUCUCUCAUCAGGAGGAGGAUUCUCAGAUGUGGUCUUCUACUGUGGAAGGAACAAAUUAAAUACUGUGGACUCUAAAGAACAGGAAGUAGUUGGGAGUAUUGUGCAGCAAAGAUAUUUUGACGUUGGGAAGAGCUGAUAUCCUGAAACAGACAACUAUUCGAGAUGGCUAUGGAGUCUCUUCCUCUGGAGAUUUUUAAAAACAAGGUAAGCAGACAUCUCCCAGGAUUGCUAACGGUGUUUUUGUCCCUCCUCAGCGCUUUGUGGUGGACUUAGUUGACCUCUUGAGGUCAUCUCCUAGCAUUCUGUAUUUUCAAGUACAGUUUUAGAAAACUGUGUUAUUUUGUCCUUAUUUAUGCUAUGGGGCAAGUGUGCUCUGUGGUACGUUCUGUCUAGUGUAGAGCUUGUCCUCUCGUUAUCCAGACUGGGGAAACUGCUGAAGUCCUUGGCACCUCUUCUGCC
rnacentral:lncRNA from 1 species